GUGCCUUCUCACAACAGACUUGCGAAUUCCUCACUCACAUUUUACAGUCUGGAAAACCAUGAGCAAGGCAUCAAGAGGAUGCCGUCAUCCCGUGGCGCCCAGCAAAGCCCUCCAUCCUCCACCUCCUAGAGCAUCACAUUGUCUCCAGAUCCUUCCCUUUCGCCAUUAACUGUGAAAUACCCAGCGCAGAAAUGAAGGCAAUAACAUAAUGAAGGAUUCUUAAAAGGAAAACGAACAGCAGAAAGGUUGGUGCCUUUGCUAAAUCCAGCAGACCAGACAGCCUACACAGAAAAUCAUCAGGAUGGGUAU